UAUGGCCAUAUCACAUUGAAACACCAGUUCCCCUAUGAUCAUCAAAGUUAAGCAAUGUUGAGCCUGGUCAGUACCUAGGUGGAUGAUCAUUUGGGAAUACUAAGUGUUGUAAG